rnacentral:rRNA from 1 species
GCGCCUACCAUGCAAGUCGAACGAAGUAGCAAUACUUAGUGGCAGACGGGUGAGUAACAUGUAGGUAUCUGCCCUUUGGCCUGGAAUAACACGAGGAAACUUGUGCUAAUACCGGAUAAGUCUUUACGGAGAAAGCUUUAUGCACCAUUGGAUAAGCCUGCACUUGAUUAGUUUGUUGGUGGGGUAAUGGCCUACCAAGACUGUGAUCAAUAGCUGAUUUGAGAGGAUGAUCAGCCACAUUGGGACUGAGACACGGCCCAAACUCCUACGGGAGGCAGCAGUGGGGAAUCUUGCACAAUGGAGGAAACUCUGAUGCAGCGAUGCCGCGUGAGUGAAGAAGGCCCUUGGGUUGUAAAGCUCUUUCGUCGGGGAAGAAAAUGACUGUACCCGAAUAAGAAGGUCCGGCUAACUUCUUGCCAGCAGCCGCGGUAAUACGAAGGGGCCUAGCGUAGUUCGGAAUUACUGGGCUUAAAGAGUUCGUAGGUGGUUGAAAAAGUUGGUGGUGAAAUCCCGGAGCUUAACUCUGGAACUGCCAUCAUAACUUUUCAGCUAGAGUAUGAUAGAGGAAAGCAGAAUUUCUAGUGUAGAGGA